rnacentral:misc_RNA from 1 species
GAUGAAGAACGUAGCGAAAUGCGAUACUUGGUGUGAAUUGCAGAAUCCCGUGAACCAUCGAGUCUUUGAACGCAAGUUGCGCCCGAAGCCACUAGGCCGAGGGCACGCCUGCCUGGGCGUCACACGUCGUUGCCCCCCCCCCAUCUACUCCUUCGGGAUUGCGGGGGGCGGAUGAUGGCCUCCCGUGCGCCUAGCCGCGCGGUUGGCAUAAAUACCAAGUCCUCGGCGACGCACGCCACGACAAUCGGUGGUUGCGAAACCUCGGUUGCCCGUCGUGUGCGUUCGUCGCGCAUCGAGGGCUCGAAAAAAUGCUCGGCUCCGGCUCGGCUUUCAACGCGACCCCACGUCAGGCGGGGUUACCCGCUGAAUUUAAGCAUAUCAAUAAGCGGAGGA